GCUGGUGCACCAAAGUGUGCUGAAAAGGGAAUCGGGUGGAAAUCCCGAACAGUCCCGCUGCUGUGAGUUGUUCUUUGAAGGCAAACGACGAUGUCACUGUUGUUGUAAUGGAUCAUUGCAAUGGCGGGAAGACGGAUUUGCCGACAACGAGUCAGAAGACCUGCCAGUUUUUU
rnacentral:ncRNA from 1 species